rnacentral:rRNA from 1 species
UACGGGGGGGGCAAGCGUUGUUCGGAAUUACUGGGCAUAAAGGGCUCGUAGGCGGCCAACUAAGUCGGACGUGAAAUCCCUCGGCUUAACCGGGGAACUGCGUCCGAUACUGGAUGGCUUGAGUUUGGGAGAGGGAUGCGGAAUUCCAGGUGUAGCGGUGAAAUGCGUAGAUAUCUGGAGGAACACCGGUGGCGAAGGCGGCAUCCUGGACCAACACUGACGCUGAGGAGCGAAAGCAUGGGGAGCGAACGAGG